CGCCUUCCUCCUCAGCCUCAG
rnacentral:misc_RNA from 1 species